UAGCUUUAAGAAUAAUAUAAAUUUAAUUUAAAGUUAUACCUGCCCUGUGAUUUUAUUUAACGGCCGCAGUACUUUGACUGUGCUAAGGUAGCAUAAUAAAUUGGCCUUUAAUUGGGGUCGAGUAUGAAAGGGGUUAUGGGGAAAAGCUGUCUUACUAAAACUACGUAAAAAUUACUAAAUAGGUGAAAAUACCUAUAUGUUUAUUUAAGACGAGAAGACCCUAAGAAUUAUUAUUAAUAGGAUUAAUAUUUCUUUUAUUUUUGUUGGGGCAACAUUGUUAGGAAAAUAACCAACAUUUUUCAAAAUUAUAAUAUGUCUAUUUUAACUAGAAAAAUAUAAAUUACCUUAGGGAUAACAGCAUAAUUAUUUUAAUAGAUUGUGACCUCGAUGUUGGACUAGGGACUUUAAUUAUUAGCCAUUAUUAAAGAUAGUUCUGUUCGAACUGUAGUACCCU
rnacentral:rRNA from 1 species